rnacentral:lncRNA from 1 species
CUUGAUUUCAUUAUAACUGUAUCCUUCCCUUUUUCCUUUCAGAGCAAAUUUCUAAUGAUCAGGAGAGCCUGCUGAUGACAUUGCUCCAUAUGAGGCACAAGAUUCAAAUAAAGACUGAAAGAUUAAAUGGUAUGUGAAAACCAAAAUUCUCUUAACUUUUAGGAGAAUUAUAGGUUCCUAAUUUGA